rnacentral:rRNA from 1 species
UACGGAGGAUGCGAGCGUUAUCCGGAUUUAUUGGGUUUAAAGGGUGCGCAGGCGGCGUGUCAAGUCAGCGGUAAAAUGUCGGGGCUCAACCCCGGCCGGCCGUUGAAACUGGCGUGCUCGAGUUGGAGAGAAGUAUGCGGAAUUCGUGGUGUAGCGGUGAAAUGCAUAGAUAUCACGAAGAACCCCGAUUGUGAAGGCAGCAUACCGGCUCCACACUGACGCUGAGGCACGAAAGCGUGGGUAUCGAACAGG